UACGUAGGGGGCAAGCGUUGUCCGGAUUUAUUGGGCGUAAAGAGCGUGUAGGCUGCUCUACAGGUCCGCUGUGAAAACUCGAGGCUCAACCUCGAGACGUCGGUGGAAACCGUAUGGCUAGAGUCCGGAAGAGGAGAGUGGAAUUCCUGGUGUAGCGGUGAAAUGCGCAGAUAUCAGGAAGAACACCAGUGGCGAAGGCGGCUCUCUGGGACGGUACUGACGCUGAGACGCGAAAGCGUGGGGAGCGAACAGG
rnacentral:rRNA from 1 species